rnacentral:rRNA from 1 species
AGAGUUUGAUCCUGGCUCAGAUUGAACGCUGGCGGCAUGCCUUACACAUGCAAGUCGAACGGUAACAGGUCUUCGGAUGCUGACGAGUGGCGAACGGGUGAGUAAUACAUCGGAACGUGCCCGAUCGUGGGGGAUAACUACUCGAAAGAGUGGCUAAUACCGCAUACGAUCUACGGAUGAAAGCAGGGGACCCGCAAGGGCCUUGCGCGGACGGAGCGGCCGAUGGCAGAUUAGGUAGUUGGUGGGAUAAAAGCUUACCAAGCCGACGAUCUGUAGCUGGUCUGAGAGGACGACCAGCCACACUGGGACUGAGACACGGCCCAGACUCCUACGGGAGGCAGCAGUGGGGAAUUUUGGACAAUGGGCGAAAGCCUGAUCCAGCAAUGCCGCGUGCAGGAUGAAGGCCUUCGGGUUGUAAACUGCUUUUGUACGGAACGAAAAGACUCCUUCUAAUAAAGGGGGUUCAUGACAGUACCGUAAGAAUAAGCACCGGCUAACUACGUGCCAGCAGCCGCGGUAAUACGUAGGGUGCAAGCGUUAAUCGGAAUUACUGGGCGUAAAGCGUGCGCAGGCGGUUAUGUAAGACAGAUGUGAAAUCCCCGGGCUCAACCUGGGAAUUGCAUUAGUGACUGCAUAGCUAGAGUGCGGCAGAGGGGGAUGGAAUUCCGCGUGUAGCAGUGAAAUGCGUAGAUAUGCGGAGGAACACCGAUGGCGAAGGCAAUCCCCUGGGCCUGCACUGACGCUCAUGCACGAAAGCGUGGGGGAGCAAACAGGAUUAGAUACCCUGGUAGUCCACGCCCUAAACGAUGUCAACUGGUUGUUGGGAAUUCACUUUCUCAGUAAC